GCCUCUAUAGCUCAAUGGUAGAGCUUGAUACUGUUAAUAUCAUGAUAGGUGUUCGAUUCAUCUUAGGGGCG
rnacentral:tRNA from 1 species